rnacentral:misc_RNA from 1 species
CAGCUCCGCGUCGAGCCGCGCACGCCAGUCGGCCUUGGCCUUUUCGACUUCGCCUUCGGUGAUGACGCCAUCGGCAACCAGCCGCUUGGCAUAGAGAUCGAGCGUGCUGGGAUGGGUCGCGAUCUUCUUGUACAUCACCGGGUUGGUGAAACCCGGUUCGUCGCCCUCGUUGUGACCGUGACGGCGAUAGCAGAACAUGUCGAUGACGAC